rnacentral:lncRNA from 1 species
UUUUUUUUUUUUUUUUUGCACUAUUGGAAGUCUCCUGCUAGUGUUCAGUAGAUGUUCUUUAGAAUUGUUCUACAUGAAGUUUUUAUUUAUUUAUUUAAUGUAUUUGUGGGAGAAGGUAUGCUCCAUGUCCUCCGCCAUCUUAACCUGAUGUCCUACUUAUCAUUUCUAUCCUGAUGUUUCCAUAUUGGUAUCUCCAGCUUGGUCCUCUGAACUUGUGUAUGGUUUGCUCUACAUUCAUCUCCAUUUGGUAGUCACUAAUAGAAAGUCUAAAACUUAAAAUGGUCAACACCAAACUUUUGAUAUGCCUCCUUUUCUAUCUCAGAAACAGCAACUUAGUUUUUCCAAUUGUUUAGGCCUAACCUUGGAGUUAUCUUUGUCUCUUCUUAUCCCCUCUCUUUCCAUACAUCCUGUCAUUUAGAAAAUAAUGUUGAUUCUACUUUCAAAAUUCAUUCCAAAUUCAACCACUCAUUACUACUUCCAGGAAGUACUGGCAAAGAAGCCUGAGGAUAAGGUCCAAGCAUCAUUGCCUUGUCCAAGCAGUCAUCAUCUCUUGCCUAGAUUACUGCAAUAGCCUCCUCUGUUCUCCCAGACUCUAUCUAGUCCAUCAGUAGAUUAAUCCAGUUCAAACUAAUCAGAUGUAUCAAUACCCUACUCAGAACUAUUCAAUUCUUUCUCACUUAUGUGAGAAAAAUAUCACAUGCACUCUAUCUUCAGCUUCCAGUAAUAAUAGCAAAGAACCUACAGAUCUCUCUGUAAUUUAAAAACAUAGCUAGGGUUAAAGGAAAAAAAAAUCCACACUUGGUCCUGAGACUCAACAUUUCACUACAACUAAUCUAUAACACAUGGGGCUUAUUUAUAUACAUGAGGCAGUACAGAGCAAAGUCUCUGAGACAGUCCUGAUUCUCCUGCUUGCUACCACUGUGUUAUCCUGAACAAAUUACUUAACUGAAGUGAUCUCUUCCUAUCAGGAACAGGAAGACAGUCCUCAACAUACUGUCCUACAAAUCAAAUAAGUUAAUGUCACAUUAAAUAGUGCAGUACUUGGCUUUCACUAUAGUAAAUAAUCAAAAAUAACCAAUGACAAAUCAUUUUAAAGUCUCUAUUCCAAACAAUUUGAUCUGUAUCUUCUAAACAUUAGGUGUGCAUGCUUAAAAACCAACCUCAAAUUCAUUUAUUUUCACAGGUGAAUUGUGUGUUGAUAUUUUUAAAAGAUGAUUCAGGAACCUAAACUAACAUUGACUUUUGUCCAUUUCCUUUAGUCAUCAAAUACUUCAAGACCCGAUACUCCAACAUACUUUAGGAUUUAAUAAACUAGAAUUCAGUUGAUGACUUUUCAUUGAGCAAUUAUUAUACACUAUGCACUGAUUGAGGCAACAGAGAGCAAGUGAAACAGAAAACAAACCAAAAAAAAAAAAAUGCUGUCACAAGUUUACACAUUCAAACUAUGAGAACACAUUUUGUGUACUAAAGUGCAACAGAGAGCUUACUGACACAGGCUAAAAGGACCAAGUGUGCUAAGACCAUACUGGAACAAGAAUAAAAGAACAAAUUAUCAUCCCAGAAGACUUAACUAUUGACCUUGGAUAGGUAUCUUUCAUUUUGGGGGUUGCCUAAAGCAAUGACAAUACAAUUCAAAACAAACAAAGUUUAAAAUUUUAAGCUAGUCUUAAAAAUUUGCAUUUAGCCGAUGUUAAAUUUGUAUUUAACAUACCUUAAGAAAAAGGAAUAUUGAGUAAUGAAUUUCUUUACAGCUUUAUUAGCAUGAUGUUCAUUUAUAUUCUUUCCCUCUCUGAUUUUUACUAAUUUUGACAAGGAAAAUAUCAGUAGUUGAUGAAAAUUUAGUCCUAGCUAUACAUUUAACUUGUAUCUAUAAGCACAAUGCAUUUGGAGAUCAGAUGACUAGUCAGAAAGAAAAUUUACAUGCUCUUUUUAUUGAAUAGUCUCUUUUCUGUGGAGACAAAUGCUUUGACAAAUCAUUAAUAUAAAUAUUCUUCAUUCGUCCAGUCAAUUGAACAUUUACUUCAUGGCACAUUGUACCAAGAUCAAAUGAAAAGGAUGGUUACUUCAAAUUACUUUAUCAGAAAGUUCAUCUGAAGGCCAGUUUUAUUUAGAAAAAAAGUAGAUGAUUUGAAGUUUGGAUAGCAAAAUAUAAAAUGAAUAACAUAUAUGAAUAAUUUUCUUCUUAAUUUCAAGUAACAUACUUGAAAAUAAAAAUUAGUAUAUUUAAGUACAAUAGUUCUCCUAUACAGUAGCAUGAAAAAAGGAAGUGGCAAUUAAGCUAAAUAUAGUAAUAUAUCAAUAGAUGAAAAAAUCUCAUUCCAUGUAACUUAUUCCUAACUUCUGUGGAAGAUGGUAUCAGUAAUUAUGCUCUGCUUUUUCAAUAUUAAUUUAAAAUUGUGUUGGUAGUGAGUGAUCACUAAGAAGUCCUUUUAUAUAUGUAAUCGUUUGAAAAGACCAAUAAGUGGUUGUGUGGGGAGCCAUUGUAUCAAAAAGCAUAAUGAACUCAGAGUCAGGUGUCUUGGUUUCUAUUGCUGAAUAUGUCUAUUCAGUAUAAGAAACCAAUAGUUAGUCUUGGACAGUUCAAUCAUUUGAGUCUCAGUUUCUUAAUCUGUAAAAUAACUACAUUGAAAUUGAUUGCACCAUGAAAAUAGGGUAGUAUAGUAGUUUACAAAAUGCAUUUCAGUCAAAAUGCCUAAAUUGGUAUCCCUAUCCUGAUUCUGCCCCAGGUGUGACCUUGAAUAAAAUUACUCUAAACCUCAAAAUGUUAUAAUGGAAAAACAAAAUAUGACAAGAGAAUUAGAUAAUAAAGGUAAAAUACAUAGCAUCAGACCUAAAACCCAGUAAGUAGACAAUAAAUGUUAUCUGUCAAUACCGUAUUACUCAUCUAAGAUUCAAAUGAAUUUAAAAAUUUUACUUAGUCACAUGACCCAGAGAUGAGCAUAAUGUCCACUGACUUUUGCCUAUUGUUAGUCAAUUAACAGUAGGCUUUGUCUGGGGGGCUAAAUUCUCCUGCAAGUGAAUAAUUUUCCUUUAAAACUUCUUACUUAAAUCUCUAAUAUAUCAAUAUUAAUAUUGUCAGCCUUGGAGCAGAAAGAAGCAAGAUAUAGAUAACCAAUCUGUUUGAUGAAUCCUAGUAAAGACUAUUUCAGUAUUGACUAUUAAAUGCUCUUUGGAGCAAAACCAAAUACUAACAUAAGCAGAGUACAAAAAAGUUGUUCGGUAAUAUACAUAAGCCAGGAAAUAAGUCUUUUGAAGACUUCCUAAUACAUAGGUUCAAAUUAGUUAUUUCUCCCUUACUUACUGAUAAAAUAUACACUGGUAUCUAUUUGGCUUAAGUUCCACACUAGAAAAAAAUAAUAAAGGUGUCCUCACAGCAAUCCCAGAGAGAUGUGACUUUGAAUUUUGAAAAUUUAGAAAAUGUGACUUACUUAAAAAGAAUCAUUUAUGACACCAGGAAAAUGGCAAAUGAAAACUUAGAUUUGAUAUUGUCUGGUGCUACCUGAAUGACAGUUUCUAUUCAAGGUCAAAUCCACAAAUUCACUUUUGGUCCCUUCUUUCAUUUUAAAACGCAUGACUGCAAAAUGAACCAGCAGCUAGAGAAAACACUGCUGUGAUUAUCUUUUACCAUCUACAUGAAUUCUUUCUAUUCAGUCUUUUCAUGCAGUUUGACUUAAAUCGGUAUGAAAUGUAAAUUUUCUUUUUGUCCAUUUCCUUACCUUCUUCUUGCAUUCAUCGUGAAAAAUUACCUGUGUGAAUCCUUUUACCCUUUUUCCAUCCCUUAUGAGGUAGUAAUACCUCUUAGUACAAGGGCAGAGACACUUGAGAUUUAAAAAAAAAUCUUCAUUAUCAACACAAAAAUAGAAUGUAGGGUGAAUAUCCUGUAUUUUCUUUGACAACACUUCCAAGGAGUCAAAAGGGUUGCCUCAUUGCUUUUAAACAUACUUAUGUCUUUAAAAUUAAUUUUGUCUAUUUAAGAUUUGCCAAUAAAGAUCCACUCCUUCCUGAUCAAAGCCUAUAUAAAAAAUCUCUUUUUUAUAUGAUAGAAUCAAUCUUUUUUAACCAUUAACUCUAAAUAAAGAAGAUGCUAUUAUAAAAUACAUAAAUUAGUAGAAAUGCAGUAAUAACACCUGAGGCCUGAGUCUCCUUUGUAUGAACCCAGAAUACUAAAAUGAAAUCAUCUUUAUUUCAGUUUCUUUCUGAGAAUAUUAACAUCUAGGAAGACUCUUUCAAAAUGUUAAGACAAGAUAUACUACCUUAUUUAGUUUUAAACUCGAUACAAAUACUUAAAGGCACUCUAUGAUCUUCCCAUUGUUAUGAUAUUAAAAUCUUGCUUAAGAUGGAAUCAAUUAAUCGAGUCUUUAGUGGGAAAAAAACAAAACAAAACUGCGAGAGCAGGCAAGCAAGCAGGCUGGCAAAUGGGAGUAUCCUGGGUCACCAAUGCUGCUGCACAAAACCAGUUGAAAUCCCAAGGCACUUAACACUCUGACAUGCUAAUAAAAGCUUUCUCUACUUCUUGAUAGCUACAUAUGUCUAGCCCUUUGCUUAGGGGUCCUCUUUUUAUUCACCACACUACAUAAAUUUCUCUGAGGUAGCACUAGUUCUUGCUAGGCUGCUACACCAAAUGGCAGAUGUGAUACAGACCAUACAAUAGCUAGGCCAGGUCCUUCUGGAUUUGCCUGAAAGAAGAGAUAUAAAUAGGUAUUAUCUACAUCCAGGUGGUAAAGAAUGCCACUGUGUUUGAUUUCCCCGGAGGCCAUACAUAUCUAGAGCUUGAAAUUCCUAAUCUGUCAUUAAAUGUUUGGCUUAAACUAAAAAAAUGAUUAUGGGGAGUUCCCGUCGUGGCACAGUGGUUAACGAAUCCGACUAGGAACCAUGAGGUUGAGGGUUCGAUCCCUGGCCUUGCUCAGUGGGUUAACAAUCCGACGUUGCCGUGAUCUGUGGUGAAGGUUGCAGACGUGGCUCGGAUCCCGUGUUGCUAUGGCUGUGGUAUAGGCUGGUAGCUACAGCUCCAAUUGGACCCCUNNNNNNNNNNNNNNNNNNNNNAAAAAAAAAAAAAAAAAAAAAAAAAAAAAAAAAAAGAUUACAACAGAAAUAAAAUAAAACAGUUCUUCAUGAAAAUGGUAAAUCUGAUUACUUGCCAAAGUGUUCUGCCUGUCAGCUAUUUGCAGUAAUGUUAGGUUGACUGAAAUGUUAGGGUGUCUUUUAGCCCUAAUUCACUUGGACUUACUACAUGGCUGGUUGUGGAUGUGACCUGGAAUGUGACCUGCCAAGGACUUCUGCAAUUUUUCUUAUCCUAUUUGAGGAUCAAAAAGGUUGACCACUCAGCCUAGGUCAGUGAUUCUCAAAAUAUGUAUGCAUGAAAUUCACCUGGGGUUUUUAAUUAAACAAAUUCUCAGAUUUCAAACAUGGAGAUUCCAAAGCAAUAGGUCUGUGGUAGGACCAGAAACUGGCGCUGUUGAUGCGCUGAAAGCCACUUGUACAUACCUACAUUUGGCAAGAGACUGUCUGAGAAGAGGGAAAUUUGUCAUCUUGUGAAACUGUCACAAAGGCUACUUACUAGUAGGAUGUUUUCUGAAUCAGUUUUGGUUUUUUUUUUU